CGGCGUGCUUAACACAUGCAAGUCGAACGGUGAAGGGGCUGGUCUUUUGUUGGUCCUGGAUGAGUGGCGAACGGGUGAGUAACACGUGAGUAACCUCGCCCCCUUCUUCUGGAUAACCGCAUGAAAGUGUGGCUAAUACGGGAUAUUCUGGGUCUGUCGCAUGGCGGGCCCGGGAAAGAUGCGCCUUUGGGUGUUUUUGGUGGGGGAUGGGCUCGCGGCCUAUCAGCUUGUUGGUGGGGUGAUGGCCUACCAAGGCGGUGACGGGUAGCCGGCCUGAGAGGGUGGACGGUCACACUGGGACUGAGACACGGCCCAGACUCCUACGGGAGGCAGCAGUGGGGAAUAUUGCACAAUGGGCGCAAGCCUGAUGCAGCGACGCCGCGUGAGGGAUGGAGGCCUUCGGGUUGUAAACCUCUUUCGCCAGUGAAGCAGGCCUGCUCCUUGUGGGUGGGUUGACGGUAGCUGGAUAAGAAGCGCCGGCUAACUAC
rnacentral:rRNA from 1 species